rnacentral:rRNA from 1 species
UACAGAGGUGCCAAGCGUUAGGCGGAAUCACUGGGCUUAAAGCGCGUGUAGGUGGGUCGUUAAGUGUCCGCCGUGAAAUCCCACGGGCUCAACCGUGGAACUGCCGGGCAUACUGGCGAUCUUGAGGCAUUCAGGGGCGAGCGGAACAAAUGGUGGAGCGGUGAAAUGCGUAGAUAUCAUUUGGAACGCCAAUGGUGAAAACAGCUCGCUGGGAAUGAUCUGGACACUGAGACGCGAAAGCCAGGGGAGCGAACGGG